rnacentral:ncRNA from 1 species
CAAAGGUUUGGUCCUAGCCUUACUGUUAAUUCUUAUUAGACCUACACAUGCAAGUAUCCGCAAUCCAGUGAGUAUGCCCUUUUAACUUCUCAUUAAGCCUAGAGGAGCAGGUAUCAGGCACACUUAUAAAAGUAGCCCAUGACACCUUGUUUAACCACACCCCCACGGGUUACAGCAGUGACUAACAUUGAGCUAUAAACGAAAGUUUGACUAAAUCAUAAUAAAUUAGGGUUGGUAAAUCUCGUGCCAGCCACCGCGGUCAUACGAUUAACCCAAAUUAACAGAAGAACGGCGUAAGUGUGUUUAAGCAUUUAAUCUAUUAAAUAAAGUUAAAACUUAACUAUGCUGUAAUACGCUCUAGUUAAUAUUAAAAUACGCAACUUACGUGACUUUACCAAUUGCUGAAGACACUAAAGCUAAGGUACAAACUGGGAUUAGAUACCCUACUAUGCUUAGCCAUAAACCGAGGUAGUUAAGAUAACAAAACUAUUCGCCAGAGAACUACAAGCUACCGCUUAAAACUCAAAGGACUUGGCGGUGCCCUAGACCCUCCUAGAGGAGCCUGUUCUGUAAUCGAUAAACCCCGAUACACCUCACCUUUCCUGGCUGUCAGUCUAUAUACCGCCAUCGUCAGCUCACCCCAACAGGGUACAAAAGUGAGCAAGAUCAUGAAACCAUAAAAACGUUAGGUCAAGGUGUAGCAUAUGGAAAGGGAAGUAAUGGGCUACAUUUUCUAUAUUAGAACAUAACGGAUUGCCUAUUGAAACAUAAGCAUGAAGGAGGAUUUAGCAGUAAAUUAAGAAUAGAGAGCUUAAUUGAAAUCGGCAAUAGGGUGCGUACACACCGCCCGUCACCCUCCUCGAUAAAGUAACUUUCUAUACCUAAUAAGAAUACGCAAAAAAGAGGAGAAAAGUCGUAACAUGGUAAGUGUACUGGAAAGUGCACUUGGAUAAUC